AUUGAACGCUGGCGGAAUGCUUUACACAUGCAAGUCGAACGGCAGCACGGACUUCGGUCUGGUGGCGAGUGGCGAACGGGUGAGUAAUGUAUCGGAACGUGCCCAGUCGUGGGGGAUAACGUAGGGAAAAUUACGCUAAUACCGCAUCCGAUCUAUGGAUGAAAGCGGGGGAUCGCAAGACCUCGCGCGAUUGGAGCGGCGGAUAUCAGAUUAGGUAGUUGGUGGGGUAAAGGCCACCAAGCCAACGAUCUGUAGCUGGUCUGAGAGGGCGACCAGCCACACUGGAACUGAGACACGGUCCAGACUCCUACGGGAGGCAGCAGUGGGGAAUUUUGGACAAUGGGCGAAAGCCUGAUCCAGCCAUUCCGCGUGCAGGAUGAAGGCCCUCGGGUUGUAAACUGCUUCUGUACAGAACGAAAAGGUUUCUACUAAUACUAGGAGCUCAUGACGGUACUGUAAGAAUAAGCACCGGCUAACUACGUGCCAGCAGCCGCGGUAA
rnacentral:rRNA from 1 species